CCUACGGGAGGCAGCAGUGGGGAAUAUUGCACAAUGGGCGCAAGCCUGAUGCAGCCAUGCCGCGUGUGUGAAGAAGGCCUUCGGGUUGUAAAGCACUUUCAGCGGGGAGGAAGGCGUUAAGGUUAAUAACCUUGUCGAUUGACGUUACCCGCAGAAGAAGCACCGGCUAACUCCGUGCCAGCAGCCGCGGUAAUACGGAGGGUGCAAGCGUCAAUCGGAAUUACUGGGCGUAAAGCGCACGCAGGCGGUCUGUCAAGUCGGAUGUGAAAUCCCCGGGCUCAACCUGGGAACUGCAUUCGAAACUGGCAGGCUAGAGUCUUGUAGAGGGGGGUAGAAUUCCAGGUGUAGCGGUGAAAUGCGUAGAGAUCUGGAGGAAUACCGGUGGCGAAGGCGGCCCCCUGGACAAAGACUGACGCUCAGGUGCGAAAGCGUGGGGAGCAAACAGGAUUAGAUACCCCUGUAGUC
rnacentral:rRNA from 1 species